rfam:Musca domestica strain aabys unplaced genomic scaffold Scaffold19307, whole genome shotgun sequence.
GUCAGGAUGGCCGAGCGGUCUAAGGCGCCAGACUCAAGUGUAAUAACUUGUUCUGUUCAACAGAAUAUGAAAAUGCGAGACUUCUGGUCCUCUCUGAGGGCGUGGGUUCAAAUCCCACUCCUGACA